rnacentral:ncRNA from 1 species
GGCACCUAUCUUGCUUAAUCUACCUUAGGCAACCAACGGCGGUUGCCCCAAGACAACGACGUCAU